rnacentral:rRNA from 1 species
AACGCGAAGAACCUUACCUACCCUUGACAUCCCGCGAAGGGGACAGAGAUGUCCUCGUGCCGAAAGGAACGCGGAGACAGGUGCUGCAUGGCUGUCGUCAGCUCGUGUUGUGAGAUGUUGGGUUAAGUCCCGUAACGAGCGCAACCCUUAUCCUUAGUUGCCAACAUGUAAUGGUGGGGACUCUAAGGAGACUGCUGGUGAAGAACCGGAGGAAGGCGGGGACGACGUCAAGUCAUCAUGGCCUUUAUGGGUAGGGCUACACACGUGCUACAAUGGACGGUACAGAGGGAAGCGAAACUGCGAAGUGGAGCGAAUCCCAAAAAGCCGUUCGUAGUCCGGAUUGAAGUCUGCAACUCGACUUCAUGAAGUCGGAAUCGCUAGUAAUCGCGAAUCAGAAUGUCGCGGUGAAUACGUUCCCGGGCCUUGUACACACCGACGCAC